UACGUAGGGUGCGAGCGUUAAUCGGAAUUACUGGGCGUAAAGCGUGCGCAGGCGGUUGUGCAAGACCGAUGUGAAAUCCCCGGGCUUAACCUGGGACUGGCAUUGGUGACUGCACGGCUAGAGUGUGUCAGAGGGGGGGUAGAAUUCCACGUGUAGCAGUGAAAUGCGUAGAGAUGUGGAGGAAUACCGAUGGUGAAGGCAGCCCCCCUGGGAUAACACUGACGCUCAUGCACGAAAGCGUGGGGGAGCAAACAGG
rnacentral:rRNA from 1 species